UGCGCAGCCGCGCGCCACCUAUACGCAGUCGGCCCUCCUUUUACGCGUCUUGGAUAUAAGCUCGCGCAAUUUAAAAAUUUGCACAGUUUCGUAGAGAAAACUACGUGGUGAACAUCAAAAUAUACUAAACCGGAAAGUGCAAAAGGCAAUUGAUACUUCAAUUGCAAUGACUGCUUGGGUCCCUGGAUUGUGGAUAAUAUAAAGUGUCUUCAACAAUGUACAAACUACAAUGGAGCUGCAAGGACCUCAAGAUGAUGUUAGGUCUAAUGAAAUGACAGUUCAGACUCCAAGCUGCAUACAUGCAACCAAACCGUAAAGAUAUAGUAUGUACAAUAAAAACAAAUCAUUUCUGCAGUGGCAUUCUAGUCAACCCAUACAAACCAACAGGACACAUUAAAAAAACACAA